GCAAGCAGCCACAUCACCCUGCAACUCAUCACCCCGGCAGCCCACUGAAGCUAAGCAGGGCUGAACCUGGUCAGUACCUGGUUUGGAGACCUCCUGGGAAAACCUGUGGUUGCUGCUGGAA
rnacentral:rRNA from 1 species